AUUGAACGCUGGCGGCAGGCCUAACACAUGCAAGUCGAGCGAGCGGCGGACGGGUGAGUAAUGUAUGGGGACUGCCCGAUAGAGGGGGAUAACUACUGGAAACGGUGGCUACUACCGCAUACUAUCGGAUAACCCAUAUGGGAUUAGCUAGUAGGGGGGGUAAAGGCUCACCUAGGCGACGAUCUCUAGCUGGUCUGAGAGGUUGAUCGUCCACACUGGGACGUGGAUACUGCCCAAAUUCCUACGGAGGCGGCAGUGGGGAACAUGGCACAUUGGGCGCAAGCCUGAUGGAGCCAUGGCGCGUGAAUGAAGAAGUCCUGAGCGUUGUAAAGUACUUGCAGCGGGGAGGCGUUACCCGCAGAAGAAGCACCGGCUAACUCCGUGCCAGCAGCCGCGGUAAUAC
rnacentral:rRNA from 1 species